rnacentral:misc_RNA from 1 species
UCUCCGUUGGUGAACCAGCGGAGGGAUCAUUACCGAGUUUACAACUCCCAAACCCCUGUUAACAUACCAUUUGUUGCCUCGGCGGUGCCUGCUUCGGCAGCCCGCCAGAGGACCCAAACCCUUGAUUUUAUACAGUAUCUUCUGAGUAAAUGAUUAAAUAAAUCAAAACUUUCAACAACGGAUCUCUUGGUUCUG